rnacentral:rRNA from 1 species
AGAGCUUGCUCUGUGGAUCAGUGGCGAACGGGUGAGUAACACGUGAGCAACCUGCCCCUGACUCUGGGAUAAGCGCUGGAAACGGCGUCUAAUACUGGAUAUGAGCUGCGAUCGCAUGGUCAGCAGUUGGAAAGAUUUUUCGGUCUGGGAUGGGCUCACGGCCUAUCAGCUUGUUGGUGAGGUAAUGGCUCACCAAGGCGUCGACGGGUAGCCGGCCUGAGAGGGUGACCGGCCACACUGGGACUGAGACACGGCCCAGACUCCUACGGGAGGCAGCAGUGGGGAAUAUUGCACAAUGGGCGAAAGCCUGAUGCAGCAACGCCGCGUGAGGGAUGACGGCCUUCGGGUUGUAAACCUCUUUUAGCAGGGAAGAAGCGAAAGUGACGGUACCUGCAGAAAAAGCGCCGGCUAACUACGUGCCAGCAGCCGCGGUAAUACGUAGGGCGCAAGCGUUAUCCGGAAUUAUUGGGCGUAAAGAGCUCGUAGGCGGUUUGUCGCGUCUGCUGUGAAAUCCCGAGGCUCAACCUCGGGUCUGCAGUGGGUACGGGCAGACUAGAGUGCGGUAGGGGAGAUUGGAAUUCCUGGUGUAGCGGUGGAAUGCGCAGAUAUCAGGAGGAACACCGAUGGCGAAGGCAGAUCUCUGGGCCGUUACUGACGCUGAGGAGCGAAAGGGUGGGGAGCAAACAGGCUUAGAUACCCUGGUAGUCCACCCCGUAAACGUUGGGAACUAGUUGUGGGGUCCAUUCCACGGAUUCCGUGACGCAGCUAACGCAUUAAGUUCCCCGCCUGGGGAGUACGGCCGCAAGGCUAAAACUCAAAGGAAUUGACGGGGACCCGCACAAGCGGCGGAGCAUGCGGAUUAAUUCGAUGCAACGCGAAGAACCUUACCAAGGCUUGACAUAUACGAGACGGGCCAGAAAUGGUCAACUCUUUGGACACUCGUAAACAGGUGGUGCAU